ACGGGUGCGUAACGCGUGGGAAUCUGCCCUUAGGUUCGGAAUAACAGCUGGAAACGGCUGCUAAUACCGGAUGAUGACGAAAGUCCAAAGAUUUAUUGCCUGAGGAUGAGCCCGCGUUGGAUUAGGUAGUUGGUGGGGUAAAGGCCUACCAAGCCGACGAUCCAUAGCUGGUCUGAGAGGAUGAUCAGCCACACUGGGACUGAGACACGGCCCAGACUCCCACGGGAGGCAGCAGUGGGGAAUAUUGGACAAUGGGCGAAAGCCUGAUCCAGCAAUGCCGCGUGAGUGAUGAAGGCCCUAGGGUUGUAAAGCUCUUUUACCCGGGAAGAUAAUGACUGUACCGGGAGAAUAAGCCCCGGCUAACUCCGUGCCAGCAGCCGCGGUAAUACGGAGGGGGCUAGCGUUGUUCGGAAUUACUGGGCGUAAAGCGCACGUAGGCGGCUUUGUAAGUCAGAGGUGAAAGCCUGGAGCUCAACUCCAGAACUGCCUUUGAGACUGCAUCGCUUGAAUCCAGGAGAGGUCAGUGGAAUUCCGAGUGUAGAGGUGAAAUUCGUAGA
rnacentral:rRNA from 1 species